rnacentral:rRNA from 1 species
ACCGGUCCGUUAAAGCCGGAGGAAGGUGGGGAUGACGUCAAGUCAGCAUGGCCUUUAUGUCCAGGGCUACACACACGCUACAAUGGUCAGCACAAUAGGUAGCCAAGCCGCGAGGUGGAGCCAAAUCCUCAAAGCUGGCCUCAGUUCAGAUCGCAGGCUGCAACCCGCCUGCGUGAAGCCGGAGUUGCUAGUAACCGCAGGUCAGCUAUACUGCGGUGAAUACCGGUUCCCGGGGCUU